rnacentral:rRNA from 1 species
CACGUAGGGACCAAGCGUUGUCCGGAUUUAUUGGGCGUAAAGAGCUCGUAGGCGGUUCGGUAAGUCGGGUGUGAAAACUCUGGGCUCAACUCAGAGAGGCCACCCGAUACUGCCGUGACUUGAGUCCGGUAGGGGAGCACGGAAUUCCUGGUGUAGCGGUGAAAUGCGCAGAUAUCAGGAAGAACACCCGUGGCGAAGGCGGUCUCUGGGACGGUACUGACGCUGAGACGACGAAGCGUGGGGAGCGAACAGG